rnacentral:rRNA from 1 species
CCUACGGGUGGCAGCAGGGAGGAAUAUUGGGCAAUGGACGCAAGUCUGAACCAGCCAGGCCGCGUGCAGGAAGACGGCGCGAUGAGUUGUAAACUGCUGUUGUACGAGGGGAAAAGCAGAUACGCGUAGCGGUCUGAAAGUAUCGUACGAAAAAGGAUCGGCUAACUCCGUGCCAGCAGCAGCGGUAAUACGGAGGAUGCAAGCGUUAUCCGGAUUUAGUGGGUUUAAAGGGUGCGUAGGCGGUCGGAUAAGUGAGAGGUGAAAUCCCGAGGCUCAACCUCGGAGUUGCCUCUGAUACUGUUCGGCUCUAGCGUAGUUGCAGUCUGCGGAAUGUCUGGUGUAGCGGUGCAAUGCUU